rnacentral:misc_RNA from 1 species
GGAAGGAUCAUUAACGUGCAUCUAAUGCAAAAAAAACUAAACCGACUGUGAACUUAAAAACCCUUAUGUUUUCUUUUUAACCUUUGUUUUCUUCACGGAAGGCAUUGGCUAAAAACCCACCACAUUAACCAAACCAAUACACAAACCCAUUCCAACUGAUUGAAAAAUCGUAAAUAAAUCGACGACUUUCAACGGCGGAUCUCUAGGCUCGUGUAUCGAUGAAGAACGCUGCGAACUGCGAUACGUAAUGCGAAUUGCACAACUCAGUGAAUCAUCGAACCUUUGAACGCAUAUUGCGCUGGGGCAGUCAAUGCCUCAGCAUGCCUGGUCGAGUGUCGUUUCCAAACCUCACACAAUAUUAUGUUUGAUAAAUAACAUGAAUUUGUUGUUUAUUGGCAUAGUUGCGUGUGGAAACGAUCGAUGAGAGUCAGUUUUUUCAUUCUCUUUUAAUUAAGGGAGUGAAGAAAUCGUCUCUUUAAAGCCAAAGAUUUGUAUUUCUAAUACAAUUUUGGUAUGUAUUGUAGUUCCAUAUAACUUACUAAUACAUGUCUUUCCCAUGUGGUAAACACCUCGUGUGGUCAAAGCAUGUGUCUGUGAGUGGAGCUAUACUUUAAGAUACAUGCCUUCCUUUUGUAUUUUAGAUUAAUGCAAACAAAAUGAUUUGUUCAUAGACAAAAAGGACCUUUAAACCGUUCUUUUAUCUCGGACAGACCUCGGCUCAGGCAAGAUUACCCGCUGAAUUUAAGCAUAUAAUUAAGCGGAGGAAAAGAAACUAACAAGGAUUCCCUUAGUAACGGCGAGUGAAGCGGGAAGAGCUCAAGCUUAAAACCUGUGUCUCAUUUGGGGCACCGGAUUGUAGCCUAAAGAGGGAGCGUCCUGGUAGACGGUGACCUAAAUGCUUUGGAAUAAGCUGCCGAAGAGGGUGCGAGCCCCGUUCCUGGUUGCCGAACCUACCUUUUGUGAUGCCCUUUCAUUGAGUAGGAUUGCUUGAGAGUGCAGUCCGAAGUGGGUGGUAUACUUCAUCUAAAGCUAAAUAUUGACACGAGACCGAUAGCGAACAAGUACCGUGAGGGAAAGAUGAAAAGAACUCUGAAGAGAGAGUGAAAAAGUGCGUGAAACCGUUGAAAGGGAACCUGAUGGGUGCAGUGUCUCGUACGGUCGACAUCUUAGCUCGAACUUGUUAAAGGCUUGUGUGGUUUUGCCAGUGUAAAAACGGCCCAUAUGAGUUCUAGAGGCAAGGUUGGGUGCACUAUGUUGAUCGGGGCCUCUGAAUGCGUUAGAUGAGCGGGAUAAAGCUGUGUCUGGGUAAUCUUCACUCCGGUGGAUGACAUUUCACAGUGUAAAUACGCUUAUUUGACGGAGGAAACUAGGGUCUCGGCAUUUGCCGGAGCGAUGUGGAUGAUUCAUGUUGCAUUACCAUGCUGGCACUUCUUCUGAAGUUCCUUUAUGUGACUAGUGUACAUGGGUUGUUUGUUGCUCUUGAGGCUCCUGGAUUCAGAGUUUAAAUGUGCUCAUCAGACCCGUCUUGAAACACGGACCAAGGAGUCUAACAUGUAUGCGAGUCGUAGGGUGGAAAACCUGAAGGCGCAAUGAAAGUAAAGGCAGAUUCGGUCUGCUAAGGUGGGAACCUGGAAGUAAUUUACUUUACGGAAGGGUGCACCAUCAACCGAUCAUGACCCUCGGUGAUUGAUUUGAGUGAUAGCAUAUCUGUUGGUACCCGAAAGAUGGUGAACUAUGCCUGUAUAGGGUGAAGCCAGUGGAAACUCUGGUGGAGGCUCGUAGCGAUACUGACGUGCAAAUCGUUCGUCAAAUAUGGGUAUAGGGGCGAAAGACUAAUCGAACCAUCUAGUAGCUGGUUCCCUC